UGGAUUUCCCUGUAUUCUUCAAGACAAGACGAUGUUCAGACUUCAGAAACUUCAGACACAUCCGGGGUCAUGUUUCUUAUCUUCGACAGUGCUUCGUUCAAAUCACCAACUAACUAUAUUCACACUCAAGUAAAUGAUGAACGUGGAUUGAUGAUAAUCCCAGUAAAUUACUCAGUCUGCUGAUCCAUAACCUCAUUCCAAUCUCACACGAGUACCAUACUAUAUCGAACAAAUUGACAUGAAACCCAUGUUUUGUGAAAAUGUGAGUUACCUUCUGGAUGGAAAUCUACCGUACCUCGGCUGUCAUGCAAUUAAUGGACGCGGACGCGAUAUCUUGAUUAAUCAGCUUUCUCAAUGAGUUUCAAGAAGGAAAAAAGCGAAACUCACGUGUUAGUAUAGUACCUACCUACCUAUGUGUGUGGUUUAUGUGUUGCGAGGUGACGUUUACACGUGGCAUGGCAGGAGAAAUUCGAAAGGCGUGUCUAACAGGGGGCGAGACCGAUUUGAAAAUAACACGUGGCGGAAAAUCGGAAAAAAACUAGCUACUUAAAUUAAUUUUAUGAGUAGCGAAUUACUAGGCUUUGAAAUCACAUUUUCAACCUUUCCAGCAAAGAAUGGAGUUGCUGCAAUUUUGAAAACGGAGUUCUUCAAUUUUAUCGGAGAAUGUAAAGAUAUGUUCCAAAAUGAACUACAUAUCUUUCUGGAACGUGAGGUUCUGAUUUAUGGCGAUCCUGGUUCCAAACAACGAAACAGCUGCAAUAUUUUGUUAAUAAAUCCAUCACGUGGCUUUCAAAUAAUCACCAUGAACCUUGGAGUACUCGAGCAAAGGCCUUAUAUACAAACUGUACCAUUGGUUCAUUAUGAUGAUAACGUCUUUUUACAUGGAUUGGGAUUGGGAAUCAGCCUCUUCGACUUGGACGAUGCGACUAGGUAACGAGCAACAACGCAUGGAAGCGAAGACGCGCGGUACGUGAGACGACCGUGAAUAGUAAAUUCAUAACGAUUGCCAUGCUAUAGUGGCUAUGGCGGUCAUUUUCAAGUACAUAUCGAAUCAAGGGUUAAUAUGAUUGUACAAUACACGUCGAGAAUCGAAAUAAUUAUACCGGGGUCGUCGCAGCUUUCAGACACGAUUUUCUCAAAUACCGUAUAGUGGAUAAAAUUGUACGAGUAUCUGUGUUACACACCUGGGCCAAGUGUAAACUCCGGAUACUUCGAAACCGAAAUGCCAAGAGCCGCAGUAAGCUCCUUGACCUUUGGGACCGGUGCAGACUCCGUGCCCGUGUGCUUUACCAUCUUCCCAACCACCGCAGUAUGUGCCACCAUCGUCGAAAUCGAAUCUUCCGCCGUUUAGUUGGGCGCUCUUGUUUGAGGUGACGGCGGUACCUGUAGCGGCAGUGGACGCCGGAGAUGAUGUGGAAUUUGUAUUGUGGUAGCCCCCCGGCGCCGGAUAUCCUUGUUGCAUCACACAAGGCCCCCGUCCCGUAAAGCCAAAGCCGCCGUCGUUGUGGUCGUCACCGCCGCCGCCGCGAGCACUAUAAAAUCACAUUAAUCGUUUCUAUAAAUAGAAUUAACAAACGUGAACAAAUAACAACCGUCCCGCACAUCGUGUAACACCAAUACACACGCUAAUGAAAUUUCAACUCCACCACGCCGGAUCAAAAAAAGAUUUACAUACGCAGAUCGCGGAUAUACCACCGAUAUAGAUGGAAUUACGUGUAGAAGACUUUAUAAAAAACGCGACGGCCGCGGCAGCAGGCACACAAGAUGAGAGAAAAACCAGCACACACCGCACGUUUCCGAUUCCUUUUGCCUAUUAUAACAACUAUGAUGAUUACGCGCGACGACGACCACGUUCACCUUAGUAGAUAUUAUAUGAUUACGGACGUGUAGACGAAGGAAAAAAAUACGAGCUGCGAGUAAGAAAAACGCACCGAGUAGCGGCCAAUGGUCGUCACUACACCAGAAAAACACGAUUGUCGAAGAAAGUCGACGACGAAAACAGCGACCAUUUCGACAGGCCGUCGUCCUAUAUCCAACUGCUCUCACUCUGAACGUUUGAAAAAUUACGAACCGCUGAAUACGCAAAAGCUGUGUUGUACAUAGUUUGACUUGGAAAUGUUUUUUGGUGUUGUACCCAAUAUCUACCUUCUACCUAGAACGUGUCUCCUGCAUGUAUUGAACUUACAAUUCAGAUGCGGUGCCUAUCUAUCACAGAUGUGCCGAACGAAAGAGGGUGUCCUCACUCUCCGCCUCGACAGAAAAAUUUUGGAAAAAGCUGGGAAACUUGGAUAUAGUUGAAAAGAAAUUGUGUAAGCUGAGAAAAUUGAAUAAUUUUACCAAAACCUACAGGUUUUUACUUAUUGAAUUAUAAUUUUUUAAAAGCUUUCGCCCUCGUUGAUCAUUUUUCCUUCUUUCUCUGAUCGAAGUUUGAGAGUAGAAAAAUUGACUUAUU